AACGAACGCUGGCGGCAUGCCUAACACAUGCAAGUCGAACGAGAACUUCGGGUCUAGUGGCGCACGGGUGCGUAACGCGUGGGAACCUGCCUUUAGGUUCGGAAUAACUCAGAGACAUUUGAGCUAAUACCGGAUGAUGUCUUCGGCCCAAAGAUUUAUCGCCCUUAGAUGGGCCGGCGUUGGAUUAGCUAGUUGGUGGGGUAAAGGCCUACCAAGGCGACGAUCCAUAGCUGGUCUGAGAGGAUGAUCAGCCACACUGGGAGUGAGACACGGCCCAGACUCCUACGGGAGGCAGCAGUGGGGAAUAUUGGACAAGGGGCGAAAGCCUGGUCCAGCAAUGCCGCGUGAGUGAUGAAGGCCUUAGGGUUGUAAAGCUCUUUUACCCGAGAUGAUAAUGACAGUAACGGGAGAAUAAGCUCCGGCCAACUCCGUG
rnacentral:rRNA from 1 species